GACGAACGCUGGCGGCGUGCUUAACACAUGCAAGUCGAACGGAAAGGCCCUGCUUUUGUGGGGUGCUCGAGUGGCGAACGGGUGAGUAACACGUGAGUAACCUGCCCUUGACUUUGGGAUAACUUCAGGAAACUGGGGCUAAUACCGGAUAGGAGCUCCUGCUGCAUGGUGGGGGUUGGAAAGUUUCGGCGGUUGGGGAUGGACUCGCGGCUUAUCAGCUUGUUGGUGGGGUAGUGGAUUACCAAGGCUUUGAAGGGUAGCCGGCCUGAGAGGGUGACCGGCCACAUUGGGACUGAGAUACGGCCCAGACUCCUACGGGAGGCAGCAGUGGGGAAUAUUGCACAAUGGGCGGAAGCCUGAUGCAGCAACGCCGCGUGCGGGAUGACGGCCUUCGGGUUGUAAACCGCUUUCGCCUGUGACGAAGCGUGAGUGACGGUAAUGGGUAAAGAAGCACCGGCUAACUACGUG
rnacentral:rRNA from 1 species